rnacentral:rRNA from 1 species
GCCUGUUUUUAUCAAAAACAUCGCCUCUUGACUCCCAUAAGAGGUCCAGCCUGCCCAGUGAUAAAAUUCAACGGCCACGGUAUCCUAACCGCGCGAAGGUAGCAUAAUCACUUGUUCUUUAAAUGGGGACUUGUAUCAACGGCAUCACGAGGGUUACACUGUCUCCUUUUUCUAAUCAGUGAAACUAAUCUCCCCGUGAAGAAGCGGGGAUACUAAUAUAAGACGAGAAGACCCCAUGGAGCUUCAAACCCAACUACACCCCCAACCCCUAUAACUACUAAAUCCUUGAGGCCCUGUAUCGUUGGUUUUAGGUUGGGGCGACCACGGAGUACAACAAAACCUCCACAAUGAACGGAAUUAAUUCCUAAUCUAAGAACUACAUCUCUAAGAAUUAAAAUACUAACAUAAAAUGAUCCAUUUUUUGAUUAAUGAACCAAGUUACCCUGGGGAUAACAGCGCAAUCCAUUUCAAGAGCCCCUAUCGACAAAUGGGUUUACGACCUCGAUGUUGGAUCAGGGUAUCCUAGUGGUGCAGCAGCUACUAACGGUUCGUUUGUUCAACGAUUAAAACCCUACGUGAUCUGA